rnacentral:rRNA from 1 species
CGGCCGCGUCGACGAUGAACGCUGGCGGCGUGCCUAACACAUGCAAGUCGAACGGAGUUAUUUUGGAAAGUCCUUCGGGACUGGAAUCUAUAACUUAGUGGCGGACGGGUGAGUAACGCGUGAGCAAUCUGCCUUUAGGAGGGGGAUAACAGUCGGAAAUGACUGCUAAUACCGCAUAAGCGCACAGCUUCGCAUGAAGCAGUGUGAAAAACUCCGGUGGUAUGAGAUGGACCCGCGUCAGAUUAGCUAGUUGGCAGGGUAACGGCCUACCAAGGCGACGAUCUGUAGCCGACCUGAGAGGGUGACCGGCCACAUUGGGACUGAGACACGGCCCAAACUCCUACGGGAGGCAGCAGUGGGGAAUAUUGCACAAUGGGGGAAACCCUGAUGCAGCGACGCCGCGUGAGCGAAGAAGUAUUUCGGUAUGUAAAGCGUCGACGCGGCCG